AGCCAGACUCCUACGGGAGGCAGCAGUGGGGAAUAUUGCACAAUGGGGGAAACCCUGAUGCAGCGACGCCGCGUGAAGGAAGAAGUAUUUCGGUAUGUAAACUUCUAUCAGCAGGGAAGAAAAUGACGGUACCUGACUAAGAAGCCCCGGCUAACUACGUGCCAGCAGCCGCGGUAAUACGUAGGUGGCAAGCGUUGUCCGGAUUUACUGGGUGUAAAGGGCGUGUAGCCGGGCUGACAAGUCAGAUGUGAAAUUCCGGGGCUCAACCCCGGACCUGCAUUUGAAACUGUUGGUCUUGAGUAUCGGAGAGGCAGGCGGAAUUCCUAGUGUAGCGGUGAAAUGCGUAGAUAUUAGGAGGAACACCAGUGGCGAAGGCGGCCUGCUGGACUGUAACUGACGUUGAGGCUCGAAAGCGUGGGGAGCAAACAGGAUUAGAUACCCGUGUA
rnacentral:rRNA from 1 species